AAUCUUCCGCAAUGGACGCAAGUCUGACGGAGCAACGCCGCGCGUGCGAAGAAGGCCUUCGGGUCGUAAAGCUCUGUUGUUAGGGAAGAACAAGUAUCGGAGUAACUGCCGGUACCUUGACGGUCCCUAACCAGAAAGCCACGGCUAACUAUGUGCCAGCAGCCGCGGUACUACGGAGGUGGCAAGCGUUGUCGGGAAUUAUUGUGCGUAAAGCGCGCGCAGGCUGUCUCUUAAGUCUGAUGUGAAAGACCCCGGCUCACCCGGGGAGGGUCAUUGGAAACUGGGAGACUUGAGUGCAGAAGAGAAGAGCGGAAUUCCACGUGUAGCGGUGAAAUGCGUAGAGAUGUGGAGGAACACCAGUGGCGAAGGCGGCUCUUUGGUCUGUAACUGACGCUGAGGCGCGAAAGCGUGGGGAGCAAACAGG
rnacentral:rRNA from 1 species